rnacentral:rRNA from 1 species
GACGAACGCUGGCGGCGUGCUUAACACAUGCAAGUCGAACGGAAAGGCCCUGCUUUUGUGGGGUGCUCGAGUGGCGAACGGGUGAGUAACACGUGAGUAACCUGCCCUUGACUUUGGGAUAACUUCAGGAAGCUGGGGCUAAUACCGGAUAGGAGCUCCUGCUGCAUGGUGGGGGUUGGAAAGUUUCGGCGGUUGGGGAUGGACUCGCGGCUUAUCAGCUUGUCGGUGGGGUAGUGGCUUACCAAGGCUUUGACGGGUAGCCGGCCUGAGAGGGUGACCGGCCACAUUGGGACUGAGAUACGGCCCAGACUCCUACGGGAGGCAGCAGUGGGGAAUAUUGCACAAUGGGCGGAAGCCUGAUGCAGCAACGCCGCGUGCGGGAUGACGGCCUUCGGGUUGUAAACCGCUUUCGCCUGUGACGAAGCGUGAGUGACGGUAAUGGGUAAAGAAGCACCGGCUAACUACGUG